rnacentral:rRNA from 1 species
UGGGGAAUAUUGGACAAUGGGCGCAAGCCUGAUCCAGCCAUGCCGCGUGAGUGAUGAAGGCCCUAGGGUUGUAAAGCUCUUUCGGCGGGGAAGAUAAUGACGGUACCCGCAGAAGAAGCCCCGGCUAACUUCGUGCCAGCAGCCGCGGUAAUACGAAGGGGGCUAGCGUUGCUCGGAAUCACUGGGCGUAAAGCGCACGUAGGCGGAUUGCUAAGUCGGGGGUGAAAUCCUGGAGCUCAACUCCAGAACUGCCUUCGAUACUGGCGAUCUUGAGUCCGGGAGAGGUGAGUGGAACUCCGAGUGUAGAGGUGAAAUUCGUAGAUAUUCGGAAGAACACCAGUGGCGAAGGCGGCUCACUGGCCCGGUACUGACGCUGAGGUGCGAAAGCGUGGGGAGCAAACAGGAUUAGAUACC